GGACGAACGCUGGCGGCGUGCCUAAUACAUGCAAGUGGAACGCAUUAAUAUCACCGGAGCUUGCUCCACCGCUAUUAAUGAGUCGCGAACGGGUGAGUAACGCGUAGGUAACCUGCCUGAUAGCGGGGGAUAACUAUUGGAAACGAUAGCUAAUACCGCAUAAAAAACUCUAACACAUGUUAGAGAUUUGAAAGAUACCAUUGUAUCACUAUCAGAUGGACCUGCGUUGUAUUAGCUAGUUGGUAGGGUAGCGGCCUACCAAGGCAACGAUACAUAGCCGACCUGAGAGGGUGAUCGGCCACACUGGGACUGAGACACGGCCCAGACUCCUACGGGAGGCAGCAGUAGGGAAUCUUCGGCAAUGGACGAAAAUCUGACCGAGCAACGCCGCGUGAGUGAAGAAGGUUUUCGGAUCGUAAGGCUCUGUUGUAGCGGAAGAACGAGUGUAAGAGUGGAAAGUUUACACAGUGACGGUACGCUACCAGAAAGGGACGGCUAACUACGUGCCAGCAGCCGCGGUAAUACGUAGGUCCCGAGCGUUGUCCGGAUUUAUUGGGCGUAAAGGGAGCGCAGGCGGUUUAGUAAGUCUGAAGUUAAAGGCAUUGGCUCAACCAAUGUAUGCUUUGGAAACUGUUAGACUUGAGUGCAGAAGGGGAGAGUGGAAUUCCAUGUGUAGCGGUGAAAUGCGUAGAUAUAUGGAGGAACACCGGUGGCGAAAGCGGCUCUCUGGUCUGUCACUGACGCUGAGGCUCGAAAGCGUGGGUAGCGAACAGGAUUAGAUACCCUGAUAGUCCACGCCGUAAACGAUGAGUGCUAGGUGUUAGGUCCUUUCCGGGACUUAGUGCCGCAGCUAACGCAAUAAGCACUCCGCCUGGGGAGUACGACCGCAAGGUUGAA
rnacentral:rRNA from 1 species